UACGUAGGGGGCAAGCGUUGUCCGGAUUUAUUGGGCGUAAAGAGCGUGUAGGCGGUUCGGUAGGUCCGUUGUGAAAACUCGAGGCUCAACCUCGAGACGCCGAUGGAAACCCCCGAACUAGAGUCCGGAAGAGGAGAGUGGAAUUCCUGGUGUAGCGGUGAAAUGCGCAGAUAUCAGGAAGAACACCCGUGGCGAAGGCGGCUCUCUGGGACGGUACUGACGCUGAGACGCGAAAGCGUGGGGAGCGAACAGG
rnacentral:rRNA from 1 species